ACCUGAGGGUGACACAAGGAGGCUGAGAGGCAGGGGUGUCCUGAGGGACAAAGUGGGGGGUGCCUGAGGGUGACAGGUGAACCAGCCCUCACAGCACCCUUAACCUCACCCUUAAACCCACCCCUACAAGGGUGGAAAGUGCACGGUGGAGGUUAGGGGGCCACAGGACAGUGUCGGGGGGCUUGGGGUGACACACAGGCAUUGCGGGCUGAGGGGCAAAAAUGGGGGGACUUGACAGGUGGAGAGCUGACCCUGAGGGUUAGGGGUACAAAGGACAGGGCACGGGGUACCAGGAAGGGUUAGGGUACAGCAGCAGCCCUCACCCCAACCCUAAGCUCACCCUAAACACACCCCUAGAACACCAGUGUUCCUCAACAGCAGCUGCAGGCAGUGACCCUAAUGCUGGGACAGCCCCAGAACCCUCCCAGCAGCUGCAGGCAGUGACCCUAAUGAAAAGCCCUGCCAGCAGCAGCACCACACAGCAACCCUAACAGCGAGAGCACACCGGAACGCUCCCGCUAGGACAAGGCAGUGACCCUCACACCAGGACAACGACAGAACCCUCAGAGGACAACGGGACCCCCUGGAGAAAGGUA